GGAGGUAUAGCUCAGUGGUAGAGUGCUUGCCUAGCAUGCACGAGGUCCUAGGUUCAAUCCCUAGUACCUCCA
rnacentral:tRNA from 1 species